GAAACUUAAAUGAAUUGACGGGGACCCGCACAGCAGCGGAGCGUGUGGUUUAAUUCGUUGCUACACGAAGAACCUUACCUGGGUUUGACAUAUAGGUUGUAGGGAACUGAAAGGGACCGACCCUUCGGGGAGCCUAUACAGGUGUUGCAUGGCUGUCGUCAGCUCGUGUCGUGAGAUGUUCGGUUAAGUCCGCUAACGAGCGCAACCCUCGUCGUAUGUUAUAUGUGUCAUACGAGACUGCCGGUAAAAAGCCGGAGGAAGGUGAGGAUGAUGUCAAGUCAGCAUGACCUUUAUAUCCAGGGCUACACACACGCUACAAUGGUCUGUACAAUGGGUAGCCAAGCCGCGAGGCGGAGCCAAUCCUGAAAGCAGGUCUCAGUUCAGAUUGCAGUCUGCAACUCGACUGCAUGAAGCCGGAGUUGCUAGUAACCGCAGGUCAGCAAUACUGCGGUGAAUACGUUCCCGGGUCUU
rnacentral:rRNA from 1 species